rnacentral:misc_RNA from 1 species
GAAACUUUCCGUGGAUGUCUUGGUGAGUGAUGGUCAAUUUGCGUGCUUGUGAUGGAUUCUUCAUUUUAAUCAUGAUGAACUAUUUAACAGAUUUUUGUACUUUGUUUUCCUUGUUGGCAUCCGUGAAUAAAAAGUAAGGCUAAGACAUUUUUUGGUGGAUAAUUUCUCAUUGAAAAUGAGGCCUAAAGGGUACCUUCUCCCCACACAUAUAUGCACAUGUGGCAAAGGGUGGUGCUGUUGAUUUAAUUUCUUGAUGAUGAGAAUUUAUUGCAAUUUAUGAUGCAUGUCUAGUGCACUGAUUCGCAAUCAAUGUCAAAAGAACUCUCUUCUCAGUCUCUGAUGCAAUAUCUCAAAUAAGCAAUAUAGAAAUGUAGAUUAAGAAUGGUAAAUAUUUCUUGCCUCCAGAAAAAUUUUGUAGGGCCAGGUUAAGAGCAUUAAAUGUUUUUGUUGAUUGGAAAGUGCCAGAGAUAGCAACAGGACUUGCUAUUUGUCAUAAUGGUAAAAAGAUGCCAAAGAAUGGAAGCUGUCUCAAGCAUUACACAAGUCAUUGGCCAGCAAGAAUGGCUUUCAAUCUGCAAUUUUUGACUUAAUGAUUUCUUAAUUGAGAAACAAUAUUUCAAUGGACUGAUCUUCCUCUAUGAGUCAGUAUUCAUAGCACCAUUCAUCACAACUGCCAUUCUUUUUUCUCUUUAAUAGAGUACCCUGACCCUCAUAAAGCAGGGAGCCUUACGCACUAUGGACUUCGAAAAUAAAAAGAAAAAAAAUUAAAAAAUAAAAGGCAUAUAAUUUUUGUAGAUGAUCCUUGACAUGAUAGUGUGGAGAAGGUAAGAAGAAACUGUAUCUAAUUUAUACAUGCCUCUAGCUUGUAACAUUAUUUCGCUUUUUCUAUCCAGGUAGUUUCCUGCCCCUGUGCAUU